rnacentral:tRNA from 1 species
GGGGCCGUAGUCUAGCUUGGUAGGACACAAGCUUGGGGUGUUUGUAACCGGGGUUCAAAUCCUCGCGGCCUCA